ensembl:lncRNA
UCAAUCUGAUUGAUGGAUUGUGUUGUGCAGUAAGCAGGCUCAGGUGUAUAACUGUGGCUCCUUCCAACUUCAAAUAGGCAUGAGGGCCAACCAUGGAGAAUAGUUAUAUCAGAUGUGAACAGGCUACAUAGAGGGCACAACAUGAUCAGAGGUAUGUUUUGAUGUGAGAUGCCAACCCCCAGUCCCGUCAUCGCCACCUCACCCGCUCUUAAGAUAACCUUCGGGCCGACUGGGGGCCUAAGGCUGGUUAGGAGACUAAGCUAGAGACACUAUUAUGUAAUUGUGAUGAACAGAGAAUAUUAGGGUAACACUGUGAUUCAUUAAUCAUAUACGGUCUAACCUGCUUCUCUGUUCCCUUUUUGUCUUUUAUACCUUUCUCGCCA